rnacentral:rRNA from 1 species
AGAUUGAACGCUGGCGGCAGGCCUAACACAUGCAAGUCGAGCGGUAGAGAGGUGCUUGCACCUCUUGAGAGCGGCGGACGGGUGAGUAAUGCCUAGGAACCUGCCUAGUGGUGGGGGAUAACGUUCGGAAACGGACGCUAAUACCGCAUACGUCCUACGGGAGAAAGCGGGGGACCUUCGGGCCUCGCGCCAUUAGAUGAGCCUAGGUCGGAUUAGCUAGUUGGUGAGGUAAUGGCUCACCAAGGCGACGAUCCGUAACUGGUCUGAGAGGAUGAUCAGUCACACUGGAACUGAGACACGGUCCAGACUCCUACGGGAGCAGCAGUUGGGGAAUAGUUAGGACAAGU